GCCCUCCCCCUCUCACACCCCCGUGAGCGGUGAGCGGGGGGCGGUCGGGGAGGGCACA
rfam:Thermococcus pacificus strain P-4, complete genome.